GGGGGUGAAUUAGGUUCGACAUAGGUAGGAAUGGCAUCAGUAGCGAGCCGAGGUCCCCAAUACCUCGUUAAACCUUGGGACAUACAAAUAAGUGCAAACAACAAUUAUUCUUUAGCUGCAGCGUAGCAAGCUAACGCCUCUUUGUUCUUUGCCUGUGAGAACAAUGUAGGUGUCAAAUCUACAGGCUACCUGAAAAGCUUAACCCGGGGCUGUUCAGGGAAAUUUGACGGGUUAGCCGUUUGCUAAUCUGGCUGCAGAGAGGGGCAAAUGGCGAAACUUGAAACUGCAGCUGCGCUCGGAGACACUGGUGUGGUUUCACUUAUGGACAGCGGUGCAACUCCGCUCACCUCCACCA
rnacentral:tmRNA from 1 species